CCCUUUGUUCAGGUCUCUUCUGAAGAAAGGCACCAGAGGCUCCAGCUCUGGCCAUAAUGCCCCAGAUGAAGCUUGACAGGAGAACUGGACACAACAGGCCAGAAUAUGCAUUCCAGGAGAGCAGGGAUAUUUGUUUUGUUCCCCGAUGUAUCCCCUGGAUCUAGCACAGGACUGGCAGACGGAGUUUCACCAUGUUGGCCAGGAUGGUCUCUGUCUCUUGACCUCGUGAUCCGCCCGCCUUGGACUUCCAGAGUGCUGGGAUUACAGGCAUGAGCCACCACGCCCAGCCUUGUUUUUGUAUAUUUUGUAGAGACAGGUCUUACUAUGUUGCCCAGGUUUGUCUUGGAGCUCCACUCCAAGGUGGAGCUCAAGCGAUCCACCUGCCUCAGCCUCCCAAAGUGCUGGGAUUACAGAUGUGAGCCACCAUGCCCAGCCUUCAUGGGUUUCCCUAGGAUCACCAGCUGUCAUGGACUGAUUUGUGUCUCUCCAAAUUCAUAUGUUGAAUACUUAACCUGCCAUGCGAUUGUGAUUGGAGAUAAUUCCUUUAGGGAAGCAAUGAAGGUUAAAUGAGGUCAUAGGUGGGAGCUUAAUCCAAUGGGACUGGGGUCCCUACAAGAAGAGGAAGACACCAGAGCUCUCUGUCUCCACACACAGAGAAAAGAGGCUGUAUGAGGACACAAGAGAAGGUAAUAGCUGUCUACAAACCAAGAAGAGAAGCCUCUCCAGAAAAUGAACCCUGCUGGAACUUGGUCUUGGACUUUCCAGCCUCCAGAACUGGGAGAAAAUAAAGUUCAAAAUAAAGUUCUGUUGUGUAAGCCCCCGAGUCCAUGGUAUUUUGUUAUGGCAGCCCUAGCAGACUAAUAACACCUGCUAAUUAAACUGCUUGUUCUCCACUUGUUGUCUCAGGGUCUGUUCCUAGGGAACCUGGACUCAGACAGAUGCUCUGCUUAAUUAGACCCCAGGGAAAUGUAAAUGAAAACCACGUGUGAUGCCAUGUCACAAGUACUAGGAUAACCAGAAGGAAAUCUGACCACAUCGGAUGCUGGUGAGGUUGGGAAGCUGUCAUAUUUAGCUGACGGAGGUGUGAGUCGGCAAACCACUUUGGAAAACUGUUUGUCAGUAUGAAAUAAAGCUAAAGCUAUGUAAACUAUAUGGCCUAGCAACUUCGCUAAUAGGUACGCCUCAGCAGAAAUACAUACAGACGUUCACCAAAAGACAGGUGCAAAAAUAUUCGAAGUAGCACUCUUUGGGGUAACUCCAAAUUGGAAGCAGCCCAACUUCCAUCAGCAG
rnacentral:lncRNA from 10 species